UCAAUCUCUCAGCACACAAUUAUGGAAGAAAUAUCUCCUUCUUCUUCCCUUCCAAAAAUAUACAUUUCCAAAAUUGUGGAACUUGUUUACUUAAAAUGAAAUCUUCCAUGUGAGCACCUUAAUCAAUCUUCAGAAACACAAGGGAGAUUCCAAAGCCAAAUAAAGGCUAUAAAACUAAAUUGUUUGGCAUAAUAAAGAUGAGAUGGAGCAAGUGACUAAGCAGAGGAGUUGAAAAAUGCCUCUGGUAAAUAUCAUUUUACUUUCUACCUUCAUGAGAUCCAUUUUUUUAGCUUCCACGUGAGUAAGAAUAAGCCAUAUUUAUCUUACUGUGUCUGACUUAUUUCUCUUAACAUAAUGACCACCAGUUUCAUCCAUGUUUAUGCCAAUAACAGGAUUUAAUUGUUUUAUAUGGGCAAAUAAUAUUCCAUUGCAUUUAUA